rnacentral:misc_RNA from 1 species
AGCUGCUGCGCGUCGUGGCCUACGUGGCGGCCGCGUGGGACGACGUGGUGCGCUGCGGCGGCGGCGCCGUGCGCUACUUCAGCGAGUAGCGGCGACGCGAGCGCGACCCGACAUUACACCGACGGCGCCGGUGUUGUACGCUGAAGUGAAAUGUUAUUCUCGACGUUUGGACUUUAGCCGUGAGAGACGGUUUUCAUUCGUUCGAAUGACGAACGUUUUGCGAGUUUCCGAUUCGGUGCAUCGGCGGUCGAUCUCCGGAGGGAACUGCGCGCCGCCGUUCAAACUGAUCGGUAUCGUUGUGACAUUCGAGUCGUAACUGAAAUAUAUUUCGUUCGCGCUUUGUACCCGAGACGGAGCCAGAGCAUUUAAUAAUUGUAAUAAAAGUUUCAUCUCACUUAGGGCGGAGUUCACCGACUAUCGUUUAACCAAUGUUUGAGUAAUCAGCCGAUGAAUUCCUAAACAUCGGUUGUGCACCCGGUAAAGUAUUCACUGUUCAUCACGAAUAUUUUAACCGUGGUUACUAAAUCAGGCAAUCACCAUACGCUCACAGCGAAUGAACCACUAAUGAAUGAAUGCUAUAAGUCACAGUAUACUCAUUAGGGAAGUCACAUAGUUGUAUUUAGUCGACACGAGUUUUGGUGCUAUCUAUAGUUAGUAGCAUAAAAUAAAACGGUUUCAACUUGAGAAGUUCGAAAACGCAUUGGAUACUGUUACGUUAGCAUGUAGUGUCCAAUUUGGAUGGGUAAUAACGUCACGGCGCUGCCAUUGUCAAAUAUAUUUUUUUUAUUAUUUCUUUGCACGUGCUAACAUUCUCUGUGUUGAUUAUUAUUUUGUUCUGUUGUGAGUGUUUAAUUUUUAAAUUACGGUUUACUUGAAAAAUGGCAGCUUUAAAAAAGAGAACAAACGAUUUUUCAAGCGAUGAUUUUGACAAACGGAAUCUAGUUUUAAAUGAGGAAUCAUUGUAUUCUUCGUAAUAAUUACGACGCAUUUGAAACAGGUACUCUAGGUCUCAAUAUUUUCUAGAUUUUCAAGAAGGCCUAAAGUCUUGAUAGUUAUCAAUUAAUACAUUGAAAUUGAACACUGACUGCGUGUUUAUCUCUUACCAAAAACUUUCAACUAAUAACGUAAUGUUGCAACUGUUGUAAAGUCACAGCAGAAUCUGUUAAGCAGAUGUCCGAAUAUGGCAUUGAUGGACGGUUAAACAAUGCUGUAGAGUUCGGUUAUAGUAAUCGGCUGUUUAAGGGCUGUAAACACUGGUUAACGUAUGGUAAACAGUAAAAAUGAUUUAAUCAGUUGUUUAACUGAUAAACAGCCGUUUUAAAAGUCGGUGAACUCCGCCCUUAAACGAAAUUCAAUAUUACAAUCUCGUUUACGUUACCGGCGGUCUACCGCCAGCGAGCUCCCGCGCCGAGCUCGGACGCUUAGACACAUGUCGCAGUGUGCGGACGCCGGGCCGUGCCGAAUGUGACGAGCUCAUUUUGUUUCUGUUGCUGUUUUACUGUGCUCGGACUAUGUUACAUAACUACGAUUACAAUAUAUCCUCUCUUACUACUUAUAAUUUGUUAUGUAAUUUUAAGUUUUACUAUAUUACAUGUAAAUAAUAAACUAGUAAGUCGUAAUGCCAUGAGUGAAAAGGGGCUCUUAUUCGUUUCAUUGUUACGAUUCUUGUAAUCUACCAAUCGAGUCACUAUAAUUAAAAAUGUUUCGUAUUAUUUGAGAUCAAUAACUCGAGAUUGGAUACGAGCUUCCGUACUGAAUGCGAUUUAAAUAUAUAUUUCCGACACUUAUGAUAUGUAUUGAAGAUUGAUUAUUACAUCAAACAAAUGUAUUAAAAAAAAAUUAAGUAUUGCAUACUGUUCCACUUCUAGUAAACGAAAGGAAUUGACUGACAACAUGUCGGAGACUAAAAGAUAUUUGCCUCGGACUGUUGUACUAUAUAAGUAAAAUUCGCUUAUAGUUUGCCCGCAUGAUAAUUGGUAGCUCGAUUUGUGUUCAUAACUUUUCAAAUUAUUUAUCUCAUGUCUUCCAAAAAUCAUCAUGAGCUUAACUUUGUUUUGAUAAUACAUAAAACGUAAAAGUUCUCCAUAUAUACUUUUAUCAUUGUAUCAACAUAACAAUCAAUUUGUACACAUGUAUUAUAAAAUUUAAAUUAUAACAAUUUGAGGUUAUCCAUCAAUCACGUCGGGCUCGGAAAAGAUUCGAAAAGGGGUUGUAAUGAGGGGUUAUCACGUGUAAUAUCUUUCGUUGAAGGCGCGAUUUCUAAACGAAACAAAAAACUAACAAACACCUCGCAACCCUAAUGUCUCUCUGGACAUUUUUCAUAACAUGCUUAAUUUUCCAAUAUUUUAUUAGAUUAGGUACAUGUACUCGUGUUGUAAGAUAAUAUUUUGAAAACUUUUUACCAAAAAAUAUAGUCAUGAUUUUUGUGUACGGAGCGGAGGGUAGUCUAAAACCUCACCACGCUAAAAACACAACGUGAUUAACGGAUGACCCCAUUUGCUAAAGGCUCGUAUUUUCCAGUCAUCUAGUUCAAAAGUCACUCAAUUGGAUGGCUGGCUUAUUCUUUGAAAAAUUUUCCAUUCGCCACGAUUUGUAGUUUAAACAUAGUCAAGGCUUUGUUUAAAGUCACAGCUUAAGUCUCCAUAGUCACUAUGUACAUAUGUAUAGCUGAACGUCCCGCUAUCACGCUAAUAUCGUUAGCUGUAUGGCGUUGUUCAUUCAAAGGGCUAACUAGCUGUUUAAUUGAAUGGCUAUUUCAACAAGCUGACUGCGAUACGUUCAUAUAACUCAUAUCCUCCUUAUAUAUGUAUUACAUAAUUAUUAAAUAUUUCGACGAUGAAGAAAAACCGGGGCUCAAACUUGAUUUUUAUAUGUUAUCAAAUAUUACGAUAUGGGUUACUAAUAUUGUUUCUUACUUUCCUCGUCUAAGCUAUUCAUAAAAUUGACUGAAUUUAUAAGACCCAAAGCUAGUCCACAUAUAUGAAAAAUAAAAAUAUUAAAAAAAACAUAUUUUUGUGAGCAUAGUUAUAAUUAAAUUACUAUUGAUUCUUGUAAGUAGGUGAACGAUUAGUUAUUAAAACGUGUUGUUAAUAACUGUCUUAAUAUAAAUUAUAAAUGUAAUGAACAUAAUACAGUAAAGCUAUUAUUAUUGCACCUAAUCGUGUGUGAUGUAAGUUUAAAACAUUAAUCCGCUCAUUGUAGCUGUAAUUUAAUAAAUUUCGUUAUGUAUUUUACUGUAUGCGUCGUUCUCUGCUUGAAAAUUUAUUAUUGAUAAUGUAAUAAAUAAUUUUUUUAUUUUAUUUUAUUAUAUUCGAAGAAUAGAAAAAUUUAUCGUGAAAAAUGUUUAUUUUAAUAAGAAAACGAAUGAAAAACUGAUUUGACGAUCUACUUGUAUUUCUGGCGUCGAUACAGAAGACAUUUUGUUUUGUAAUUUUUCGCGUUACCAUACAGUGUACAAAGUUAUCGUAUAGGUGUUGCGUAUUUAUAGUAGAUGAUGACCAGUUAGGCGAGAGACGUCAGAAUCAAAACAGCAUUACAGUUAUUCGGUAACGUCUACGAAACUCGUGCAGGGCCAGAUCUAACAUAUGGCUUUUUGAGCUUCAGCCCAGGGCCCCGUGGAUGCAAGGAGCCCUCAGCUAAGUCAUGUCCAAGUCAGAAAUAGACGAUGAUGUGAAAGAAUCCAUAAUUUUAUUAAAUUAAACAGAUCCGUGUGGUUUGCAGCCCUGCGAAUCCUACGAUUAAUCAAACCCAUUGAAUUCAUUUAAUUCAAGUCUACAUUCAGGUGUUAGUACUUCGUUCUAUUUUCCACUUCCAUCACACAUUAAUCUCAAUCGUGUUCAAAUUAAGUGGGCCCAUUAGUAGUAUUAGCCCAGGGCCCCCUAAACUCACGGUCCGGCCCUGAACUCGCUCGUGUCUCGAUUUGAAUGUAAAAUAUGAAAAACGAAUAAGUAAUACAUAGAAGCUGGAUUGCCUUUACACACCCUCACAUAAUAUUGUAAGUAAUUAUUAUAUAACGCCGCACGUAGACCGCGUUCGUUUUUACGUUUUACCUUGAAAUUAAUUAAAAGUUUUCGUCAGUGCAACAGACGCGAAGUUUUUAAAAUCAAUUUGCAAAUAUCGCACACUACACAGCCUCACAUCUAUUACGACCGUGUAGAAAAUUAUAAAGAAAAAUCCCAAAAAUAAUACUAUGUAAUAAGUAGUUAGUGUUGUAUGCGGUGUGUUUACUUUGCUGAUGAAAUAACAUUUAAAUAACAAAAUGGGAGCUUCACGUAAAGUAAAUAUACUCAUAUCGGAAGUAUAGAGAUAUUAUUUAUUGUUUUUUUUUUUCCUUGUAAGAUAUGUAAAUAAUUGUGCAGAUGUAUUGUAUUAAUCGAGAUAACGUUGUAAGUUGUGUACCAAAUGUCGUUCUUGUGCAUUUUAAACGUUUAAUCGUUCGUGUUCGGUAUCGCCGGACACUCUUCCUCCGAUAGCUCCUGAAGUUAAUGCGCUCGUGUUUGAUUAAUUUUACGGUGAGCUGGUAUGAUUGACCCGAAUAAUUAAAUUGUAACUACAUUUGAUUGUAGUUAAUUGAAAUUCAAAAAAUGACAAUAUUAUCAUCAAAUUUGAGCUUAAUAAUAAUAUUAAAAAAAAAAAAUAAGCAUUUCUCUUUAUUUUACGAGCUCAUACAACGAGAUUCUUUACACUUCCUCGGUAGUGAGGCUUCCUUGGGUUUUAAAAAUGGCAAUUAUUUUAUUGACUACCGUCGUUUGUGAGCUUAUCGACUUUGCUUCAUUGGCUACUUUAUAUCAUGAAAUGUUAUUAUAGCUGCAACAAUUAUAAAGAUCUAAAAUAUCUUAUGUACGUUUGAAAGUCGAUAUAGUUUUACUUGCAAGAGUAAUAAUCAAUGUGAAAAUGAGCUACACACUGUUCUUUUUAAGUUCAGUUCCUACGAACUAGAGUGAUAAUUAAUGCUUAAAAAUUAUUGGCAGAGUGUAAAUGUAAAUGUAUAAACUAUUGCGGAAACGUGAGUUUCUAUAAUUGUCUCCGUGUCUUACUAAUAUAACAUUAAAUCCUUAAACAAAGCUAUUUAUUUUAAGGUAGUAAAAUAUAGUGAGUAUAAAUGUACGACUCUUGGCCGCAGUGGCGUAGCGAGGGGUGUAGGGGGACAAGAGGGCGUCGUACCCCGGGCGCUACUCACAACGAGGCGCCAAAUGGUCCGCCAAAUAAAAAAAUGCUGGACAUAUAUGGUUUUCGAAUGGGGGCUAAAAAGGUUUUAUGACCCGGGCGCGAAUUAAGCUCGCUACGUCACUGCUUGGCCGAAGUUCUUUUUUUUUAAUUUUUUAUUCAGACAUUGAGACAAUUGUCGUGUAUAUAUCAAUAUUAAAAUAUAUUUAUCCGCUUCUCAUCUAACUUUACGAUUCUAAUUUUUAUUCUGUUUCUGAGAUUAAGAACGAAGUAAUUAUUUAUUUUAUUUAAAUUCUUAUUUUGUUGAGACACUUCAAUCGUUGUACUUUUAUCUUAUACAUUCUUUGUUACCUUUAAAUAUACCUACAAUAUAAUUACAACAUAAAUUUAUGCUAUAAUGCUUGUUUUAAAUUUAGGGAACAGAGUAAAAAUCUAGGCUCAUUUUAACUGUAAAUUAUUUGUUUAUAAACAAUAAUGUAACCAACUGCAAUUUACAGUUAUGUACUUUUUCACUGUUUCCGUUUUCUUAAUAAAAUGUUGAAAAUAUUUUUGAAUUUUAUUUUGUUACAAGCUGCCCGGACAGACUGUUCCGUCAAAAGUUAAUAGUAAAAAUUAUUUUUUUGUUAGUAUUAAAACCGGACCUUAAGGAACACACAAAAAAAGUAUAGCCGAAUUGGUCGGUCCAUUCUCAAGUUAUGCGCUUAGCAACUAUCAUUUUUAUUUAUAUAGAUUAAUGUUGGGGAAAGAUUAGAAAAAGCCAUUGAAAAAAACGCUUAAUUACGA